rfam:Oryza sativa Japonica Group DNA, chromosome 10, cultivar: Nipponbare, complete sequence.
AAAAAGGGCAAACCAUAGAUUUCCGUGUCCAACUUUGAUUGUCCGUCUUAUAUGAAAUUUUUUUAUAAUUCGUAUUUUUAUUAUUGUUAGACGAUAAAACAUGAUUAAUAUUUUAUGCGUGACUUGUCUUUUUAAUUUUUUUCAUAAUUUUUUCAAAUAAAACGGACAGUCAAACGUUGGGCACGGAAACCAAGAUUUGUCUUUUUU